GAUGAACGCUGGCGGCGUGCCUAAUACAUGCAAGUCGAGCGAACAGACGAGGAGCUUGCUCCUCUGACGUUAGCGGCGGACGGGUGAGUAACACGUGGAUAACCUACCUAUAAGACUGGGAUAACUUCGGGAAACCGGAGCUAAUACCGGAUAAUAUAUUGAACCGCAUGGUUCAAUAGUGAAAGACGGUUUUGCUGUCACUUAUAGAUGGAUCCGCGCCGCAUUAGCUAGUUGGUAAGGUAACGGCUUACCAAGGCAACGAUGCGUAGCCGACCUGAGAGGGUGAUCGGCCACACUGGAACUGAGACACGGUCCAGACUCCUACGGGAGGCAGCAGUAGGGAAUCUACCGCAAUGGGCGAAAGCCUGACGGAGCAACGCCGCGUGAGUGAUGAAGGUCUUCGGAUCGUAAAACUCUGUUAUUAGGGAAGAACAAAUGUGUAAGUAACUAUGCACGUCUUGACGGUACCUAAUCAGAAAGCCCCGGCUAACUACGUG
rnacentral:rRNA from 1 species